rnacentral:rRNA from 1 species
UCGUAUUUUUCAGAAAUGGAAAAGUGUCUCCCCUUUCAAAAAGGGAGAAACGAGAACAC